GGAACCUCGGAAUUCGAUUCCGGGCAUACGCCCAAGUCCCAUAUUUUCUUACGGACCCUCCGGGACCAUCAAAUUACGGGUCUGGAUCCAUUUAUCCAAAACGUCGAACGAAGUCAAAUUAAUUCAUUUUAUAGUUAAAAUUUAUCAUUUUCACAGAUUUUCACAUAUAAGCUUUCAGGCUACGCGUUCGAACAGUGCACACAAAUCGAGUUGAUGCUAAAAGAUAUUUUUAAGGCCUCGAAAUGCAGAAUUCAAUUUAAAAACAAGUGAUGUCCUUUUGGGUCAUCACAUAUAAUCGGUUGGUUCAAUAAAUAUAAAUGAGCUAUCCAAUUAUGCUAUACGAUAUUGCAAUUAAUUAACAUGAAGAAUCGUGAUGGGAGGAUUAUGAAUUUUUAAUCUCAAGUCUUAAUUAAAUAUUAUGAGUUCGAGUCGUAAAUAUGGUUUCUUCACUCUUAGUCAAACGUCUCGGGUUCAAGUGAUGCGACAAAAAUAAAUUUACUCAACUCUGCUUCUACUUAAUAUAUCCAUGUUUUAACUUUUGAUGCCUGCUAAAUUACUUUGUUUUACCAUGUUUUAUCCAAAACUUUUAUCUGUUUUGGUAUGUUUUGUUUAAUACCACCAUAACGAGUGCUGAUAUUCAUUGGUUUGUAGUGCAUAUAUUUUACUUCUAAGUUUUGAUUUGGUAUAUGUGAAACUUAUGCACACCAAAGAUGUCAAAUUUUAAAAAACCCGUGGAUUCAACAUGCUGGACACAAAAAGGGAAACGUCAAUGCUCUAAAGAAAGAGGCAUCCAAAUUAAACAAAGACGUCGCGAAAUGUAUAGGGCGAGGUCGGUCGAUAAAAGAGAACUAAAUUUACUGGAGCGUCGAACGACAUACCUUCAUUCUAGAAAGCAGAAUCCAACCAGUGAUUCCACUGAAGUAUCAGCUUUUUACCAAUUUAAUAGAGAAUUAGCGAGGCAGAGAGCUGCUCUAACAGGAGCCUCAUCUUCUACCUUGACAACAGUAAAUGUGUUCACAGUUAAUGAUUCCACUCUUUCUGAUAAUGGGAAAGACCUACAUGGUCGCUCUCCCGUUUUUAAAGUUGGGUCUACAACAGGAACGUGUAGUGAACAAUAUAAUAAUACCAUGUGUAACGCUACAAGCAAAGGUUCGUUUCCAUCUAGCUUUAAUGUCAUUUCAGUCAUUUCUUUUUCACGACUGGCCUUUUUUCAUUCUGGUAAAUCUAAAAUAUAUGGGUCGUACAUCUAAAAAAUGUGUCUCUGGAACACUAAUGACUUGCCCAAUAGCUUUUAUAGACUAAAAACUGUGCCGAAUUGCAAAUUUUGUAGAGCUAGAAGAUUUCAAUAUGAAUCACCGGGAUUAUGUUGUGAUAAUGGAUCAAUGAAAUUGAUUCACUAUGGACUACCUGCUAAAUUGCUAAAUCUUUAUUUAGGAAACUCUCAGGAGUCCAAAUAUUUUCGCACUUAUGUUAGAUUGUAUAACAAUAUGUUUGCAUUUACUUCUCUUGGAGUGAAUUAUGAUAGAGAUUUAGCAAGAAAAAAUUGUAGUAUUUAUACGUUUAGAGUUCAAGGGGAAAUGUAUCAUUUCAUAAAUGACCUCCUGCCUUCAAGUCAACCAGCAAAAAAUCUUGUAUUUUUAUGAUACUGAUAAUGAACUAGCAAAUCGGUUGGCAUACUUUGACAGGCUUAACGAAUCGGUUAUCAGGAUUUUGAUGGACGCAUUAAAAGUUAAUCCAUACUCUAUCUUUUUGAAAUCUUUAACAGAUAUCCUAGAAUUAUCAAACUUCUACAUUGCGCUUAAGUCCGACUCUGGUUUAGAUCAAAGAACCUAUAACUUACCAACAUCAUCUGAAGUAGCAACAAUAUAGAUAGAAGAUGAAAGUAGUUCCAGUAUUUCUCUACCACAUAUUCGAAUUUAUACACAUAGUAGUAAAAGCCAAUUGGUAAAUUACUACUAUGGUUGUUAUGAUCCAUUGCGGUAUCCAUUACUAUUUCCUUAUGGACAAAACGGAUGGCAUUGUGGUAUUAAAAAGAUUAUUCGAACGAAUAAUACUAUUAGCCAUGGAACUUAUUGUGAAAAUGAACAACUACCAAGUGUAGAAAAUAUGUGUUCAGUCGAUAUGCUACUUGACAUGGAAGCAGAACUUCUGGAAAAAAAGAAAAGAAAAAGAAAUACUGUGUCAUGCCGUGAGUAUUAUUGUUACAAGCUCCAAAUGAGGGACGAUGAAGAAAAUGGGGUUUUACAAGCUGGAAGAGUAUUCCAAUAAUACUCAGUUGACGAAUUCAUCAAGCUUGAGACUCAAAGGUACUUCUACUCAGGCCUACCAUCCUUGAGAGAGGAGACUACGUAGAGACUUCGAGAAUGAAUGAAAGAUCUUGGCUUAGUUUCUGCAAUGGAGAUCUAAGAUAAAUUCGUUCAAUAUCAGCUUACUUCAGAUAAUAUUCCACAAAACUACUUGAUAAUUCCAAGGAAAAUUGACCCACAACCAUAACAAAGAUCAUAACAGUUCAUUGCUUGGUCUGCUUUCUACUUUGUCGCAACCAUUUAUAAUUCUUGAUCUGGGUGCAGAGCCUCAAGAAGUCAGACGUUUAGCAUGCCAAAUAGCAGGCUAUACAUGGGCAACAGCCAGCUAGACUACAUUAGAAGUGCAAAUUAACAACUACAUUUUCAGACGGAAGCUAAAGGCUAAAGAGCUUCAACGCAUCUUAUGAUAACUUAUGAUGGAGUCAAGCUAUGAUGGAGUCAAGAUGAACAACAAGGUUUAAAUGGACUCAUUUGGUCAUUUUUGGGCAAUAUUGAUAACGACAUCUUCUGCCAACUACGCUUUCACUCUAUUAAGAUCACCACUUUUCUGAUAGCAAUAGGAGAACGGAGAAUUGAAAUUGAAGAGCUUUAGUAUACGUUGCAGCUGAAAAUGACUAUGGAAACCUUAACAAAUACUAACUCACCAUCAGGAAUAGUAAAGCUUCAAAUUUUAUGAAGUGCAUCAGUGAGCUGUCAUUUCGUCUAUAUCAAGAACAAGUAUAUGUUAGCUGACAUUGGCAAUCCCAAUUUAUAGUAAUUUGUAGACUUUUUUUCUUUUUACUUAGCUUAUUAACCAAAAACUCAUGUGAUUUCAGUUUGUUUUACCAUGUUUGUCUCUUCCACUGACCUUUCAACAACAAAAAAAUCCCAAUGACAGAACUUCUUAUGGUUGAAAUCUUACGGCAUGUGCUUAAAUUUGUUCAGCUCAUUUUGUCGUUGUUGCGAUUAGUGUAUUUACUUUUCCAAUGUCUGUUUAAUAUGAUAGUCGUUGUCUUUCUUUUACGUUGCUAUGAAUGGGUACAACUGCUAGAAGAAACAAAAGAAUUCCUGAAUGCCUUUACAGAACAAUUAGUAUUUUUAUGCUUCGUGAUAGGACAGUUGACAUCCUAAAUAGUCUUUGCUAACUAGUCAGGCUCUGACUACAUUUCAUUCAGAUUAAAUCAAAGAUUGUGGCGCAAAGCAAAGCGGCAAUACCCAAACUGUCAUUACUAUAUCGAUAACAAUGAUGUAAACUAAUAAGUGUCCCUGUAAAAAAGUGUGUUCUUUUUCCCCUUAGUUCAAGAUUAGGCCAGCAAAUACAUGUAGGAUUGUUGUUAAUCUGAAGGUGUCAACCUACCAAGUUUAGCCUUUUCAUAGAAUAUGUUAAUUAGUUACUCCAAUUGCUAAAUAUUCUAAUCUACAUUGUUACACAUCCUAAUCGUGCUGGACAAUUUACCUAGUGUUGCAUUUGUUCUAUGUACAACUAAUUCAAGAGCAUGAAGUUUAUCAACUUCGUAUUUUCUAGCACAUGGAAUGCAGAUAAUGUACAUUGGCCUCUCAAUUGGAAAAAAUGGAUAUAAAGUGGAUAAGUUCACCAUUUUGUAACAA